GAUGAAGAACGCAGCGAAAUGCGAUAAGUAAUGUGAAUUGCAGAAUUCCGUGAAUCAUCGAAUCUUUGAACGCACAUUGCGCCCCUGGCAUUCCGGGGGGCAUGCCUGUCCGAGCGUCAUUUCUGCCCUCCAGCCCGGCUGGGUGUUGGGCGCUGUCCCCCCGGGGACACGCCCCAAAGGCAGUGGCGGCGCCGCGUCGGGUCCUCGAGCGUAUGGGGCUUUGUCACCCGCUCGGGACGGACUCGUCGGCGCUGGUCUUCCUCCAGGCGACCCUUCGGGGCUCGUCUUCCUUCGGUUGACCUCGGAUCAGGUAGGGUUACCCGCUGAACUUAAGCAUAUCAAUAAGCGGAGGA
rnacentral:misc_RNA from 1 species